UACAGAGGGUGCGAGCGUUAAUCGGAGUUACUGGGCGUAAAGGGCGCGUAGGCGGUUAUGUGAGUGUGAUGUGAAAGCCCUGGGCUUAACCUAGGAAGUGCAUCGCAAACGACAUGACUGGAGUAUAUGAGAGGGUGGCGGAAUUUCCGGAGUAGCGGUGAAAUGCGUAGAGAUCGGAAGGAACGUCGAUGGCGAAGGCAGCCACCUGGCAUAAUACUGACGCUGAGGCGCGAAAGCGUGGGGAGCGAACAGG
rnacentral:rRNA from 1 species